rnacentral:rRNA from 1 species
GACGAACGCUGGCGGCGUGCCUAAUACAUGCAAGUCGAGCGAAGUUUUUCUGGUGCUUGCACUAGAAAAACUUAGCGGCGAACGGGUGAGUAACACGUAAAGAACCUGCCUCAUAGACUGGGACAACUAUUGGAAACGAUAGCUAAUACCGGAUAACAGUAUUUCUCGCAUGAGAGAUAUUUAAAAGUUGGUUAUGCUAACACUAUGAGAUGGCUUUGCGGUGCAUUAGCUAGUUGGCGGGGUAAAGGCCCACCAAGGCGACGAUCCAUAGCCGACCUGAGAGGAUGAUCAGCCACACUGGAACUGAGACACGGCCCAGACUCCUACGGGAGGCAGCAGUAGGGAAUAUUCCGCAAUGGGCGAAAGCCUGACGCAGCCACACCGCGUGAGUGAAGAAGGCUUUCGGUUCGUAAAGCCCUGUUGUUAGGAAAGAAUAGAUAUAUAGUAACACUACGUGUAAGAGACGGUACCUAAACAGAAAGCAACGGCUAACUACGUG